GAUGAAUAACGCAGCGAAAUGCGAUACGUAAUGUGAAUUGCAGAAUUCAGUGAAUCAUCGAGUCUUUGAACGCACAUUGCGCCCCCUGGCAUUCCGGGGGGCAUGCCUGUCCGAGCGUCAUUUCUGCCCUCCAGCCCGGCUGGGUGUUGGGCGCUGUCCCCCCGGGGACACGCCCCAAAGGCAGUGGCGGCGCCGCGUCGGGUCCUCGAGCGUAUGGGGCUUUGUCACCCGCUCGGGACGGACUCGUCGGCGCUGGUCUUCCUCCAGGCGACCCUUCGGGGCUCGUCUUCCUUCGGUUGACCUCGGAUCAGGUAGGGUUACCCGCUGAACUUAAGCAUAUCAAUAAGCGGAGGA
rnacentral:misc_RNA from 1 species